UACCUCAAAAAACCACAACAGUUUGUUUCAUCCGUAUAGGAAUCAUCAGGUGGUCUGAUGAUUCCUAUACGGAUGAAACAGACUGUUGUGGUUUUU